UACGUAGGGGGCGAGCGUUGUCCGGAAUUAUUGGGCGUAAAGAGCGUGUAGGCGGUUCGGUAAGUCUGCUGUGAAAUCCUGGGGCUCAACCCUGGGCGUGCAGCGGAUACUGCCGGGCUAGAGGGUGGUAGAGGCGAGUGGAAUUCCGAGUGUAGCGGUGAAAUGCGCAGAUAUUCGGAGGAACACCAGUAGCGAAGGCGGCUCGCUGGGCCACACCUGACGCUGAGGCGCGAAAGCUAGGGUAGCAAACGGG
rnacentral:rRNA from 1 species